GACCUUGAAAUACCACCCUUUAAUGUUUGAUGUUCUAACGUUGACCCGUAAUCCGGGUUGCGGACAGUGUCUGGUGGGUAGUUUGACUGGGGCGGUCUCCUCCUAAAGAGUAACGGAGGAGCACGAAGGUUGGCUAAUCCUGGUCGGACAUCAGGAGGUUAGUGCAAUGGCAUAAGCCAGCUUGACUGCGAGCGUGACGGCGCGAGCAGGUGCGAAAGCAGGUCAUAGUGAUCCGGUGGUUCUGAAUGGAAGGGCCAUCGCUCAACGGAUAAAAGGUACUCCGGGGAUAACAGGCUGAUACCGCCCAAGAGUUCAUAUCGACGGCGGUGUUUGGCACCUCGAUGUCGGCUCAUCACAUCCUGGGGCUGAAGUAGGUCCCAAGGGUAUGGCUGUUCGCCAUUUAAAGUGGUACGCGAGCUGGGUUUAGAACGUCGUGAGACAGUUCGGUCCCUAUCUGCCGUGGGCGCUGGAGAACUGAGGGGGGCUGCUCCUAGUACGAGAGGACCGGAGUGGACGCAUCACUGGUGUUCGGGUUGUCAUGCCAAUGGCACUGCCCGGUAGCUAAAUGCGGAAGAGAUAAGUGCUGAAAGCAUCUAAGCACGAAACUUGCCCCGAGAUGAGUUCUCCCUGACCCUUUAAGGGUCCUGAAGGAACGUUGAAGACGACGACGUUGAUAGGCCGGGUGUGUAAGCGCAGCGAUGCGUUGAGCUAACCGGUACUAAUGAACCGUGAGG
rnacentral:rRNA from 1 species